CUAUAUAUAUAUUUAUAAAGGCUAUAGUAAUAGAUGAAUAGAGAGAGGGUCACGUGAGAGUGAGAGAAGAAUGAGGAAGUUAGUUUAGGAUAUUUGACUUAGUUGAAUUUAAAUUUAAAUUAUGAGGAAUUUUAUAUUAGUAAUUAAUCAAUAUUUUAUUCCUUAAAAAAAUAAAAGGUAUAGCUGAGUUUAAAUUUUAAAUUCCUAGAUUUUCUCUAAUCAGUUGAAUAUAUACGAUAUGGUUUUACCAUUCAAUGAAACGAUGAACACAAACUUCAUUCUCUACUUCUUUCUCUCCACUUAGAUAAUUCCUAAAUCUCUCAUAGCCUCUAUCACACCAAAUUACAGCAUAGCAUAAAUUGAAGCCUCUAUCACAAUAUUCAAUUUCUAAGGGCCUAGAAGGUAUCGUAGGAGUUAAUUACAGCGGAGUUGAGAUAAGUAAGCCUGUAAGUUUUCGGUGACAAGUUGAGUCUGGGCAGCAUGGGGUGUAUCUCGUGUGAUCAUGUAACUGCGUGUGGUCUUGGCCAUCUUCCGCUGAAAGUUUUUUUUUUAAUUUAUUAAACUUAUCGAGGAUGUUGUCGUUUAAAUUUUCUAUUACUUUUCCCUAAGUGGUAAUACUUUAUUUUCAACUGGGUACCCAUGUUUUGAAAAUUGUUAUUUUUUUUAAUAAAGGCAACAUUAGUAUCUUAACGCCAGUUUAUUUAUGGCAUCUUAUUUUACGUAAGUAAGGGCGUUACAAAUGGUAUCAGAGCCACAGUUACAUUGAUCUUGAAUUCACGCGACAUACACACCAUCGCUGCAAAGGAUCAACUUGUCAUCAAGUAUGUAUGCCUUAUAUAUGUUAUGUCUUAUAUAUUAAAUUUGGUUUAGUCUUUAUCUUUUGAUUUUCCUUUAGUUAGCUAGAAGUUUAGGGUAUGGUUAAUCGAAACAAUUAACUGAUUCUUCGGAGUUAGAAUUUUAGUAUAACUCAAACAAUUUUCUUAUUAGUGUAUUUUUUUUUUAUGAGUGAAGAUUAUUUAUUUAUUUAUUUAUUUUACAUGGUGAAUUGUUGCUUGAUGAUUUACGUUUUUUUUAAGUUUAUAUAAUUUAGUGUAUAGAUAUUUCCUUUUUCAACGAGAUACAUCUUUCGUUAUUAUUCUUACCGCUACCAUCUCCUUUCUUUUGAAGAACAAGUUAAGGGAUUUGAUGGAAAACGGUGAACCUAGAAGAUCAACCCGGUUGAAUGAAAGAGCGGCUGUAAGAGACCGAGCUAGAGGUCGGGGGCGAGGAGGUGCUCACGGUCGAGGUCGCGGUCGAGGCAGGGGAAACCAUCAUGUCCCUGCCGAGGCGGUGAUCCAGGAGAAUCAAAAUGCCCCUGUAAAUGGACAACAACCAGGUCAAGGUGGGGGCAACCACGAAGUCCCUGCUGGGGUAGUUGGUCAAGAACACCAAAACGCCCCUGUAGUGGUGCCACCACAACAAGAAGAUUUGGCGCAAGAAGUUGCUCGUCUCAAGGAAGAAAUUAGGAAGCGAGAUGAAGAGGCUCACAACCGUCAGGAACAACCCAAUCAAGGACAACAUCAAUUUUUGCCGGUGCAAU